rnacentral:rRNA from 1 species
UCGCCUGUUUAUCAAAAACAUCUUUUCUUGUUAGUUUUUGAAGUAUGGCCUGCCCACUGACUGUUAAAGUUGAAGGGCCGCGGUAUUUUGACCGUGCAAAGGUAGCAUAAUCAUUAGUUCUUUAAUUGUGAUCUGGUAUGAAUGGCUUGACGAGACAUAAGCUGUCUUAGAGGUAUUGGUUUAUUGAAUUUGGUUUUUGAGUUAAAAUUCUUAAAUGUUUUUAUGGGACGAGAAGACCCUAUAGAGUUUGACAAUUUUCUUAUUUGUUCGUUGUUUGUUUUUGUUACAUUAAGUGGGAAUAGAUUGUUUUGUUGGGGUGAUGGGAGGAAUAUUAUUUAACUCCUCUUUGUUUUUGUAUAUUUAUUUAUAUUUUUUUGAUCCAUUUAUUUUGAUUAUAAGAUUAAAUUACCUUAGGGAUAACAGCGUAAA